rnacentral:rRNA from 1 species
GACGAACGCUGGCGGCGUGCUUAACACAUGCAAGUCGAACGGUAAGGCCCUUCGGGGUACACGAGUGGCGAACGGGUGAGUAACACGUGGGUGACCUGCCCUGCACUUCGGGAUAAGCCUGGGAAACUGGGUCUAAUACCGGAUAGGACCACUGCCUGCAUGGGUGGGGGGGGAAAGCUUUUGCGGUGGGGGAUGGGCCCGCGGCCUAUCAGCUGGUUGGUGGGGGGAUGGCCUACCAAGGCGCCGGCGGGUAGCCAGCCUGAGAGGGUGACCGGCCACACUGGGACUGCGACACGGCCCAGACUCCUGCGGGAGGCGNNAGUGGGGAAUAUUGCACAAUGGGCGCAAGCCUGAUGCGGCAACGGCGCGUGAGGGAUGACGGCCUUCGGGUUGUAAACCUCUUUUAGUAGGGAAGAAGNGAAAGUGACGGUACCUGCAGAAAAAGCACCGGCUAACUACGUGCCAGCCGCCGCCGCUG